ACUGCAGUCGAGCGAACAGACGAGGAGCUUGCUCCUCUGACGUUAGCGGCGGACGGGUGAGUAACACGUGGAUAACCUACCUAUAAGACUGGGAUAACUUCGGGAAACCGGAGCUAAUACCGGAUAAUAUAUUGAACCGCAUGGUUCAAUAGUGAAAGACGGUUUUGCUGUCACUUAUAGAUGGAUCCGCGCCGCAUUAGCUAGUUGGUAAGGUAACGGCUUACCAAGGCAACGAUGCGUAGCCGACCUGAGAGGGUGAUCGGCCACACUGGAACUGAGACACGGUCCAGACUCCUACGGGAGGCAGCAGUAGGGAAUCUUCCGCAAUGGGCGAAAGCCUGACGGAGCAACGCCGCGUGAGUGAUGAAGGUCUUCGGAUCGUAAAACUCUGUUAUUAGGGAAGAACAAAUGUGUAAGUAACUAUGCACGUCUUGACGGUACCUAAUCAGAAAGCCACGGCUAACUACGUGCCAGCAGCCGCGGUAAUACGUAGGUGGCAAGCGUUAUCCGGAAUUAUUGGGCGUAAAGCGCGCGUAGGCGGUUUUUUAAGUCUGAUGUGAAAGCCCACGGCUCAACCGUGGAGGGUCAUUGGAAACUGGAAAACUUGAGUGCAGAAGAGGAAAGUGGAAUUCCAUGUGUAGCGGUGAAAUGCGCAGAGAUAUGGAGGAACACCAGUGGCGAAGGCGACUUUCUGGUCUGUAACUGACGCUGAUGUGCGAAAGCGUGGGGAUCAAACAGGAUUAGAUACCCUGGUAGUCCACGCCGUAAACGAUGAGUGCUAAGUGUUAGGGGGUUUCCGCCCCUUAGUGCUGCAGCUAACGCAUUAAGCACUCCGCCUGGGGAGUACGACCGCAAGGUUGAAACUCAAAGGAAUUGACGGGGACCCGCACAAGCGGUGGAGCAUGUGGUUUAAUUCGAAGCAACGCGAAGAACCUUACCAAAUCUUGACAUCCUCUGACCCCUCUAGAGAUAGAGUUUUCCCCUUCGGGGGACAGAGUGACAGGUGGUGCAUGGUUGUCGUCAGCUCGUGUCGUGAGAUGUUGGGUUAAGUCCCGCAACGAGCGCAACCCUUAAGCUUAGUUGCCAUCAUUAAGUUGGGCACUCUAAGUUGACUGCCGGUGACAAACCGGAGGAAGGUGGGGAUGACGUCAAAUCAUCAUGCCCCUUAUGAUUUGGGCUACACACGUGCUACAAUGGACAAUACAAAGGGUAGCGAAACC
rnacentral:rRNA from 1 species